rnacentral:lncRNA from 1 species
GUCGUUGAGAAAGUGACAGAGCUGGCAAGAACAGGAAAACUGGGAUGACUGAAAAGGCAGGGAGACUUCUUUUGGCCCUCUUUUUUGACAUUUUGCAGCUUCACUCAGACUGGCACUUUAGAGCUGAUUAUGACCAUGGAAUCCCUUCUCAGCCCCCAGCCUCGCCAGGAAGGCAGGUGGCUGUGUCACACCAGACUGGCUCCUGCGCUGGAACCUGGCCCCAUGAGCAAGAGCUUUCCUUCAGGCCAGGAGCUCGCUACCCAUUCAGGAGCUGUCAUGGGUCCAGCUUGCCUGCCUAGGCUGGGAUGGUAACAGUGGUAGGAGCACCUCCAAACACUGGGACAUGGGCUGUGAGAUGAAACCUCAGUGAUGAGGUCUUGCCAUGACAAGGACUUGAGAACUGAAGAAAACUGUGGUUCCUGGAUGGAGAAGAAGAAGAAAGCAAGAUAGCAAGAAGAAGAAAACUGCAAUAGCAAGAGAUAACAUUGAUUGUUCUGUGCCUAAGAAGCCUGAGAAAUCUUCUACACAUUUCCUAUUUCUUUAUGUAAAAAGCAAGGCUUGAAAAUGUGAAAUUAAAAAUAGAAACUUCAAGCAUGUGUCUCCAUUACAACAGGCUCUAGUCACCCCAGGAAAACAAGAUUAAGAAAUCUUGAUAAGACUUGAAUUUAUAGCAGGAUCACUUUUGGCCCCUUCUGUCUGAUACAGGCAUUGAAUUAUUGCUAUUCUGCUACUAAAGGACAUUUGAGUUAUGUGAACAAAUCUUCUAGUUAUGAAAAUCUUUGAGUUAUGUGAACAAAUCUUCUUGAAUAAUUAACUGAGUGAAUACAGCUGCUACUUAAAUUAUACUGAGAAAUACCCAGGCAAACAAUAUUUUCUUUAUAUAUAUAUAUGUGUGUGUGUUUGUAUAUAAUUUUGCAAUCUAUAUAUAUACAUAUAUAUACAUACAUGUAUAUUAUAUAUAUACACAUACAUAUUACAUACACAUAUGUAUAUAAUAUAUAUACAUACAAUUUUCCAGAUAAACUUUUGUG